rnacentral:rRNA from 1 species
GCUUACAGGUCACACUACCGAAGACGCUUCCAAUCUCGUCUGAUCUCGGAAGCCCUAAGAGGGUUUGGACCUGGUUAGUAAUUGGAAUGGGGAAGACCCACCUGGGAAUACCAGGUGCUGUAAGCU